GUUAAAUGUUAUCAUUCAUUUCCUUUAUAGUUUGUUUAUGUGGCAGAGACUGCUAGCUGUCCACUAGCAUCUGCAUCUUUCUUUUCUAGCAAGAGAGCUGUGGAUGGCUAUGCUGUGGAGUGUGUCUAGAAGGGAUAUAUGCAACAUUGACUUCACUCACUUCAAAGGGAAAUCUUUGUCUCCAGAUGUCCACUCUUCCCCCCUUCAGCAGACUGGAGUAUUGUUAUUAUCCCAUUUUUACCUACGAGGAAACCAGUGUUACACUGCCAAGGGGUAGACCCAGUUGGUGGAAGCCAGUCAGUCCAUCAUGUUUCCCUGGCCUCAGAACUGUUUCAUGGAAAACAAAAUCUUAUCCAAUCAGGAUGAAUAUGAGGCUUGGAGCAGCUGCAGUUGAGGGAAAGCCUGGAGCUCCCACAAGACCUGAAGCCAGACCCUGAGGCAGGAGCUAAGCCAAGGAAGUGUGGCUGGAGAAUGGAGCCUACUGAAGUCCAGCUGGUGAUGUGCUGAAGCUGGGUGAGUGCCCUUUGCCUUCUGGUUCUUAUUUCAGCUGCUUUGAGGUAAGCAUUCAUUUGCUACCAUAAGGAUGCUAGGCACUAAAGAAUGCUCAGAGCCUACUUUUGUCCAGGUGGAUUUCUCUCUGUGGUGCUCUGUAAAUGAGGGUGUUGUUGUUCAGUGGCCCAGUCAUGUCCGACUCUUUGCGACCACAUGGACUGCAGCACACCAGGCCUCUCUGUCCCUCACCAUCUCCCGGAGUUUGCCCAAGUUCAUGUCCGUUGCACUGGUGAUGCCAUCCAGCCAUCUCAUCCUCUGACACCCUCUUCUCCUUCUGCCCUCAAUCUUUCCCGGCAUCAGGGACUUUUCCAGUGAGUCAGCUGUUAGCAUCAGGUGGCCAAAAUACCAAAAGGAAGAUAUUACACAAUGAAUAUAGAAUACGGUUCCUUCUACAUAAAUAAAAGAUGUAAGAAUGAGUGAGUGCCUAUGUGU
rnacentral:lncRNA from 1 species